rnacentral:rRNA from 1 species
AGCACCACAAGGCGUGAAGCCUGCGGUUUAAUUGGAUCCAACGCCAGGAAACUUACCGGGGGCGACAGCAGAAUGACGGUCAGGCUAACGACCUUACCCGACGCGCUGAGAGGAGGUGCAUGGCCGUCGCCAGUUCGUGGCGUGAGCUGUCCUCUUAAGUGAGGCAACGAACGAGACCCCCACCGCUAGUUGCCAGCGACGCCCCACGGGGCGGCCGGGCACACUAGCGGGACCGCCGCCGAAAAGGCGGAGGAAGGCGGGGGCCACGGCAGGUCAGUAUGCCCCGAAACCCCCGGGCCACACGCGGGCUGCAAAGACCCGGACAAUGGGCCGCAACCCCGAAAGGGGAAGCAAAUCUCCCAAACCGGGUCACAGUAGGGAUCGACGGCUGCAACCCGCCGUCGUGAACAUGGAAUGCCUAGUAAUCGCCUGUCACCAUCAGGCGGUGAAUACGUCCCCGCUCCUUGCACACACCGCCCGUCGCUCCACCCGAGUCGGGUUGCGGUGAGCCGCUGUCCCCCGGCUCCGGCCGGGGGGUGGUGUCGAGCCGUGGCUCGGCGAGGGGGGAGAAGUCGUAACAAGGUAGCCG